GCCGGGAUGGUGGAAUUGGUAGACACAAGGGACUUAAAAUCCCUAGACUGGAAACGGUCGUGCCGGUUCGAUUCCGGUUCCCGGCA
rnacentral:tRNA from 1 species